UGUGGGAGCUGGCUUGCCUGCGAUGCAGGCGACUCGGUCCUUCAGUUGAACCGAGGUGAUGCUAUCGCAGGCAAGCCAGCUUCCACA
rnacentral:misc_RNA from 1 species